rnacentral:misc_RNA from 1 species
AAUUCUCAACCCACACGUCCUUGUGAUGAUGCGGGCUUGGAUUUGGAGGCUUGCUGGCCCUUGUGGGUCAGCUCCUCUUGAAUGCAUUAGCUUGAUUCCGUGCGGAUCGGCUCUCAGUGUGAUAAUUGUCUACGCUGUGACCGUGAAGCGUUUUGGCAAGCUUCUAAUCGUCCCAUAAGGGACAACAAACCUUGAC